GGGGCUGUGGCCUAGCCCGGCAUGGCGAUGGGCUCCAGCGGAUAAAUGAUGAACAACGGGUAUACUGAAUCUUUCCCGACGGGGCAAGAUAAUGAGGAACCGUUGGAGCACUGAUAGAUGCUCACCAGAAAACUGUAUAAGCAGUUGUUCGGAGAUACCCGUCGAUCGUGAGUUCGAAUCUCACCAGCCCCA
rnacentral:tRNA from 1 species